rnacentral:tRNA from 1 species
GGGGCUAUAGCUCAGUGGUAGAGUACUUGCCUAGCAUGUAUGAGGCACUGGAUUCAAUCAUCAGCACCACA